UAAAAAAAUUUAGACCGUUCUGGGCAAUUCUUCUAUUGUAUGGUAUUCCUACAUUCAUCCUUUCAUUCCAGAUGAAUUCCUUCCUCUUGUCAUUUCCACCAAGCCACUCACUACCAAGGUAGCUCUAUUAUUCCUGAGCUUCUCUCAUAAUUCAUUUGCAAACAUUUUUUGUAUAAGAAGCUCCUGCUUCGCAGUGGUUUUGCCAGGAACGAAGCCCAACUUUUUUGAGUCAGUUACUUGGGAGUUAUCACUGGAAUCUAGGGAAGAAAGAAAAAGCUUUUAUGGAACUUUAUCACAUAAUAUAACUAGUCAAGAAAUCUGUUUGGUCCACUACGAUGUUCAAAAAUCCUUUGAGGAACUUGAAGAAAUGCUGGAACACACAGCUAUUUUCUUCUACUAGAUCCAGAUCCAGAUGGAUAGAACGCCCUAUUGUGAAUGCCUGGCCACUAGACAACAUUAGCUUCACAAAAGGUCUGGAGGCUAUAGUUAACCUGGAAAAGCAUAGCUCUGAACUGGAAACCGAGAGAAUCUACAGCAAAAUGUAAAUGUGAACUCAUGUGAGUGAGGAGGUGAAGCACUGUUCUGUAAAGAAAAGCAUGCAACAGCCCCUGGAGCCAUGGCCCUGUUGAUUAAGGCACUAGUGUGAACUUUCUUUGUAGCAAGGUGUGUAGAUGCUUUUAAUUUCAAUAUAAUAAAAGGAAAUUAGGCAGGUAUCAAGACUAUUUCUAUUUUCCAGCAACAAAAAGAAAAAGCAAGCCUUGUUAUUUGAGCAUUUUCUUACAUGGAGAUAUUAAAUAAAUCUUGUGGCUUAUUUUUCUUUUUUUUGAAUAGGUCCUUAUUUUCCAGAUUUUACACUCAAAGAGAUAUACUUUAUUCAGCUCUUCUAGACCAAGGCUGGACUCCUUCCUAGCCAUAGACAGAGAUUCUUUGAAAUUGUUUUCAAAGUCCAGUGCUGGCUGAAACUAUUUUAGGUCUUGUCUUUGCUACCUUGGCCCUAUCUGAAAGGAAGAAGUUUGCCCUUGAAAGAGAGUUAAACUGCUGUGAUUCACCGACUUGGAAGAAUUGCAGGAUG